GGAUCAAUACGUCGGUCGUGCCUUCGGUACGCACUGGCGUCGUUGAUUUCUCCCUUCUGAUGAACCAUGAUGUCAUUAAUUUGGUGUUGUGGGGAGUCAGGACUGUUACUUUGAAAAAAUUAGAGUGUUUAAAGCAGGCAAACGCUUGAAUACAUUAGCAUGGAAUAAUGAAAUAGGACGUUCGAACCUAUUUUGUUGGUUUCUAGGUACAACGUA
rnacentral:rRNA from 1 species